rnacentral:rRNA from 1 species
GACGAACGCUGGCGGCGCGCCUAACACAUGCAAGUCGAACGGGGUUAUGCUAGAUGAAGUUUUCGGAUGGAAUUUGGUAUAACCUAGUGGCGGACGGGUGAGUAACACGUGAGCAACCUGCCUAUCAGAAGGGGAUAACGAUUGGAAACGAUCGCUAAUACCGCAUGACAUAGCGGAAUCGCAUGGUUCUGUUAUCAAAGAUUUUAUCGCUGAUAGAUGGGCUCGCGUCCGAUUAGAUAGUUGGUGGGGUAAUGGCCUACCAAGUCGACGAUCGGUAGCCGGACUGAGAGGUCGAACGGCCACAUUGGGACUGAGACACGGCCCAGACUCCUACGGGAGGCAGCAGUGGGGGAUAUUGCACAAUGGGGGAAACCCUGAUGCAGCGACGCCGCGUGAGGGAAGACGAUCCUCUGGAUUGUAAACCUCUGUCUUCGGGGACGAAACGAGACGGUACCCGAGGAGGAAGCCACGGCUAACUACGUGCCAGCCGCCGCCGUAA